rnacentral:rRNA from 1 species
UACGUAGGGUGCGAGCGUUAAUCGGAAUUACUGGGCGUAAAGCGUGCGCAGGCGGUUUUGUAAGACAGAUGUGAAAUCCCCGGGCUUAACCUGGGAACUGCAUUUGUGACUGCAAGACUAGAGUGCGGCAGAGGGGGGUAGAAUUCCACGUGUAGCAGUGAAAUGCGUAGAUAUGUGGAGGAAUACCGAUGGCGAAGGCAGCCUUCUGGCAUAAUACUGACACUGAGGCUCGAAAGCGUGGGUAGCAAACAGG